AGUAGGGCGACACUUUUUUUGCUAUACUUUGUAUACCAAACUUGAAUUUUUAUAUAAAUUGGCAAAAUUGUACGUCAAAAUGAAAAAAUUUAAACGUCGGAAACGUCGUAAUUGUCAAAUUUUGACUCGAACAAUUAUUUCCUAACCGCCAUAUUAUAUUGCAACCACCGAGUAACCACGCCCGGAAUUUUGGAUUUUUAGUUUUUUCUGCAUAUAUAUUUUCUGAGCCCUAAUACUUUAUUGUGAGAAUAUUAUUCGUCGCUUCUAGGGAUUUACUAUGGAAAAUACAGUGAAACAUAAUGUAAGAUAUCAUAAAUGUACUAUUUGUGGUCUAAAGAGGACCCCUGGACUGGAGCCAAUGUAUUUUUGAAGAAGUUUCCACUUGAUCCAGAUCGGUGUCAUUCUUGGGUCAAAGCAGUUGGGAAUGAAGACUGCUUACAUACCCGUUAAAAAAUUGCAUGAAAUUAAAUAUUUGUGUGGAUAUCACUUUGAAAAAAAGUAUUUUAAUACAAAGGGCAAUAGAUUAAUUAAAAAUACUAUUCCAACAUUAAAUUUGCCACAAUCAUUGGAUGUCUUCUAGUCUUUUGGUAGAUUUUCCUUUAUAUGGUGAAGAAAAAGAAAAAUCUCAAGUCUUGAAAGUUUUCAAGAUAUAACAAAUUCAGAGAAUGUGCAAUGCAAUGAAAAUAUUUUAUCUAAAAGUGAGUAAACUACUUUAUUAUAUUAUAUUUAUUUAUGUUGUUAGAAGUAACAAGUGUUUUUAAGAGGUACAGCAUCUUGUUAGUUCAUGUUUGGUUAUGUAAUAUAUUUUUAAUGAUGGAUAAAA